AGAUUCAUCACCGCCUCUGAGAAAGAGGGCUGGGUCACCAGGUCAGAAAAAGCUGAGUAAAACAAAAGAUGCUUCCCACGUAGAAAAGCUCCAUCGUGACUCUGAUUCUCCACCUCCACGAAGGGGUACCCAAAAUGCCUCUGAGGCAGACCUUUCUCCCCAGCGGAAGAAUCACAGGGCUCUGCCUACUGGAAAGAGUCAGCGUGGUUCAAGGAGUCCCCCUGAUCUCUCACGUCAUCGGUACCCUGAUGAUAAGGGAUCUCCCCAAAAGGUAAG